UGCGUAGGCGGUGCAAUUAGUCAGUGGUGAAAUCCUGCGGCUUAACCGUAGAACUGCCAUUGAUACUGUUGUCCUUGAGUAUAGUUGAGGUGGGCGGAAUGUGUAAUGCAGCGGUGCAAUGCAUAGAGCUUACACAGAACACCAAUUGCGAAGGCAGCUCACUAAGCUAUAACUGACGCUGAGGCACGAAAGCGUGGGGAGCGAACAGGAUUAGAUACCCUGGUAGUCC
rnacentral:rRNA from 1 species